CCCUAGUAACUGCGAGUGAAGCGGGAAAAGCUCAAAUUUAAAAUCUGGCGGUCUUUGGCCGUCCGAGUUGUAAUUUAGAGAAGCGUCUUCCGCGCUGGACCGUGCACAAGUCUCCUGGAAUGGAGCGUCAUAGAGGGUGAGAAUCCCGUCUUUGGCACGGAUGCCUGGUGCUUCUGUGAUGCGCUCUCAAAGAGUCGAGUUGUUUGGGAAUGCAGCUCAAAAUGGGUGGUGAACUCCAUCUAAAGCUAAAUAUUGGCGAGAGACCGAUAGCGAACAAGUACCGUGAGGGAAAGAUGAAAAGCACUUUGGAAAGAGAGUGAAACAGUACGUGAAAUUGUUGAAAGGGAAACGCUUGAAGUCAGUCGCGUCGACCGAGACUCAGCCUUGCCUCGGCUUGGUGUACUUCUCGGCCCGACGGGUCAGCGUCAAUUUUGCCCCUCAGAUAAUGGCAAGGGAAAGGUGGCACCUUUACGGUGUGUUAUAGUCUCCUGUCGCAUGUGAGGGGUGGGAUUGAGGAACUCAGCGCGCACCUUGGUGUCGGGGCUUCGGCCCACGUCACGCGCUUAGGAUGCUGGCAUAAUGGCUUUAAACGACCCGUCUUGAAACACGGACCAAGGAGUCCAACACGCACGCGAGUGUUCGGGUGGAAAACCCGUGCGCGUAAUGAAAGUGAAAGUUGGGACCUCUGUCGUGGAGGGCACCGACGCCCGGACCAGACCUUCUGUGACGGAUCUGCGGUAGAGCGUGUGUGUUGGGACCCGAAAGAUGGUGAACUAUGCCUGAAUAGGGUGAAGCCAGAGGAAACUCUGGUGGAGGCUCGUAGCGAUUCUGACGUGCAAAUCGAUCGUCAAAUUUGGGUAUAGG
rnacentral:rRNA from 1 species